GGGAAUUUCAUCAAGCAUCUUGUGGAUGACCAUGUGCCAUGGCGCCCGGGGAGAGUGGUGCCCCAACGAGCUCUGCCUGCCGGCACCGCUCCCUCGCAUGUUCACCGCUGCUCAACCCCACGGUGAGCUUCACCCUGCCCGGACCACGCCAUGCGCGACGAGGAGGGGCGGCGCCGGUUGGAGGAGCUCGCUGAGGGACACAUGCACGGUAAGGAAGAAGGCGGGGUGAGCGCAAGAAUGCGGAUGGGAGAAGCCGAUCUGGUGCCGCUGCUCGUUGCCGUCCGCGCGUCCUGCCCCUGCCUCACGGCGGUGGCGGCAGCAGUCUGAUCCCCCACGUAGCUCAAACUUGGCAAGGGAGUGGCAAGCGUUGGGAUAGAAGGGGUGGAUGGAAAGCUAACAUGGUGGAGGUGUCAUGGGUGCAAAGAAUUGGAAGGAGAUGGCCAAAGACUCGGCCAGAUUUUGAGCUGAUGCUCUGGCGGCGGUGGGUGGUGUCCCGAGACAUCACAGAGUGGCGCAGCAGCGGCAGAGUCGUCGCUGUAGUGGUGGAGGAGCGGCUGAGUCUCGCACACAACUUGUUCGAUUAAAUGUGCCAUCGAGAGACUAUGGGAGAGAGAAGAAGAUGCAGAUGGAUGAAAGAGUGGCGCCUAGUUAGCGUGCCACAUCAGCACUAGCUACCCACGUGGAUGGGAAUGGACCUGCGUUGAACGACUUAAAAUGUUUAUGGACCCAGAAAUACAUUUUCGGAGUUGAUGGACC